rnacentral:misc_RNA from 1 species
GAUGAGAACGUAGCGAAAUGCGAUAAGUAGUGUGAAUUGCAGAAUUCAGUGAAUCAUCGAAUCUUUGAACGCACAUUGCGCCCCUUGGUAUUCCGAGGGGCAUGCCUGUUCGAGCGUCAUUAUAACCCCUCAAGCUCAGCUUGGUGUUGGGGCCUGCUGCACUGGCAGCCCUUAAAAUCAGUGGCGGCGCCAUCUGGCUCUAAGCGUAGUAAUUCUUCUCGCUAUGGAGUCCUGGUGGAUGCUUGCCAUCAACCCCCAAUUUUUCUAUGGUUGACCUCGGAUCAGGUAGGGAUACCCGCUGAACUUAAGCAUAUCAAUAAGCGGAGGA